AACGGUCUAUACCUGCGGUACCUGCGGAGGGAUCAUUAAAAAAGGGUCUUUUGACCAAUUUUUUUAAAAACUCACUACCAAUUCUAGCCUAUCGAGUUAGAUGGAAGUGGGUUUUUUUCAAACACCAAAAUUUUAACCUAUUCGUCUUUUGAUGAAACCCAAAAUUAAUAAAAUAAAACUUUUAACAACGGAUCUCU
rnacentral:misc_RNA from 1 species